UUACAGGAAAUCCAGUGUUAAACUCAAACACACAGCUGUGUGUAGUUUAGACUCUGUGUUGACUGGCUGCUGUCCUGACAGGCUGAGAGGGCUCAUGUGGUAAAAGAUGGUCAGAGAUGUAUUUUGAUCUGAAGCCACUGAGGGAUUUACAGCAGCAGUAAUUUAAACUCUUUUCUAUGACACAGUGGAGGUCAGUGCAGAGGCCUGAGAAUCGCUGUGAUGUGUUCACCUUCUUAUCAUCACCUUUGUAUCUUUUCUAGGACAGGAGCUGAGGUAGGAGGCGAUGAAGGACCCUGAGAAAAGAGCCUGAUGCUACUGAAAAUAAACAUCAACAUCUUCUCUGAACUGUUUUUUGUCCUGAAGAGCUGUUGUAUCUCUUCUUUAACAGCACCACCCGGCGAGCACGCCUCGUGAAACAAACCCAACAUCCGCCUUUGGACUAAAUCGCAAAUGGCGGAUCAGACCUCGAUGACCCUCGGUGAGGAGUGAGGCCUGUCUGCCGGUGUGGAUGAUCCCGCUGUGACCGCUGAGGCUCAUUCAACUCUGGAUGUUUGAAAACUUUGAGGAGCGUAUUCCAACAGAGACUGAGUGGAUCUGUUAUAUUUUGCACCGAGAAUGAACGAGUAAAGCUGGACCUCGAGGAGCUACCUGGCGGUGCACGAGACAACAGGUGCUUCAAGUGAAAAUUAUACAAAGGAGAGGAUGUGACGGACAAGGACAAGGAUCCACCAAGAUGCCAGUUUUUUCUACACUUCUCUCUUUGAAGCUGGAUCAGAUUAUAAAGUACAAGCAGCGGGGUGGAUUCGACCCAGCCACUCCAGGACCAGUACGACCUCACAGCCACAAACACGUCCACCACACCACCGAGUACCCUUCACACUGGGCAUCUCUCUCUGAGCACUUUUCAGUCUUGCUGCACAGGGUGAGAAUUGAACCAGUGACCUCUGAACUAUGAAGCAGAUUUCUAAUGGGCUAAGCUAUUUAAUCAUGUUUUCAUGCAGUUGUGAACUUCAAAAUUCAUUGCCUCUUAUGAGGAUCGAACCCUUUAAUAG